rnacentral:rRNA from 1 species
GACGAACGCUGGCGGCGUGCUUAACACAUGCCAGUCGAACGGAAAGGCCCUGCUUUUGUGGGGUGCUCGAGUGGCGAACGGGUGAGUAACACGUGAGUAACCUGCCCUUGACUUUGGGAUAACUUCAGGAAACUGGGGCUAAUACCGGAUAGGAGCUCCUGCUGCAUGGUGGGGGUUGGAAAGUUUCGGCGGUUGGGGAUGGACUCGCGGCUUAUCAGCUUGUUGGUGGGGUAGUGGCUUACCAAGGCUUUGACGGGUAGCCGGCCUGAGAGGGUGACCGGGGAAAGGGGGAGUGAGAGAUAGUGCAGAAUGGGGAGGGAGGCAGUAGUGGGGCGCCGUGCGCAGGGGGACGAAGGUUGGUGGAGCAACGCGGCGUGCGUGAGGCCGGGCUUGGGGUGGUAAAAAGCUUACGAAUGUGCCGAAGAGUGAGUGCCGGGAAGGGGUAAAGAAGCAACGGCUGACUCCGUG